AACGAACGCUGGCGGCGCGUCUUAAGCAUGCAAGUCGAACGGCAAGGUUAGCAAUAACCCUAGAGUGGCGGACUGGUGAGUAACACGUGGGUGACCUACCCUUAAGUUGGGGAUAACCAUUAGAAAUAGUGGAUAAUACCGAAUACGCUUGCGACACUUUGGUGAUGCAAGGAAAGGAGCUACGGCUCCGCUUGAGGAUGGGCCCGCGUCCCAUUAGCUAGUUGGUGAGGUAAAGGCCCACCAAGGCGACGAUGGGUAGGGGACCUGAGAGGGUGAUCCCCCACACUGGCACUGAAACACGGGCCAGACACCUACGGGAGGCUG
rnacentral:rRNA from 1 species